GCCCUUGUAGUAUAGCCUGGAUAGUACACGCGGUUGCGGUCCGUGGGACCGGGGUUCGAAUCCUCGCAAGGGCA
rnacentral:tRNA from 1 species